UACGGAGGGGGCUAGCGUUGUUCGGAAUUACUGGGCGUAAAGCGCACGUAGGCGGCUUUGUAAGUUAGAGGUGAAAGCCCGGGGCUCAACCCCGGAAUUGCCUUUAAGACUGCAUCGCUUGAACACGGGAGAGGUGAGUGGAAUUCCGAGUGUAGAGGUGAAAUUCGUAGAUAUCAAGCGGAACACCGGUGGCGAAGGCGGCCUUCUGGACAGUGACUGACGCUGAGACGCGAAAGCGUGGGGAGCAAACAGG
rnacentral:rRNA from 1 species